AACGAACGCUGGCGGCAGGCCUAACACAUGCAAGUCGAGCGAGAAGGUUCUUUCGGGAACUGGAGAGCGGCGGACGGGUUAGUAACGCGUGGGAACGUGCCCUAAAGUCUGGGAUAACUAUUAGAAAUGAUAGCUAAUACCGGAUGGUCCCUUCGGGGUAAAGCUUUAGCGCUUUAGGAUCGGCCCGCGUUAGAUUAGGUAGUUGGUGAGGUAAUGGCUCACCAAGCCUACGAUCUAUAGCUGGUUUGAGAGGAUGAUCAGCAACACUGGAACUGAGACACGGUCCAG
rnacentral:rRNA from 1 species